rnacentral:rRNA from 1 species
CGCCCGGUCCCAUUCCGAACCCGGAAGCUAAGCCCUUCAGCGCCGAUGGUACUGCCCUGGGAACGGGGUGGGAGAGUAGGACACCGCCGAAC